CCCCGAUCCCCUUUCCCUAACCACGCCCUAAUAGCGCGCAUGUAUAUUACGUCACUUCCUCUUUGCCGCCAAACUUUGCGACGGUGGAGAGUUUUGGAUUUGAUUUGCGUCAGCUGGAUUUGAUUUCCGACAGUUGGGUGAUCGGGUACCCGAAACAGAGAUCCGACAACUGUAUAUUUAACAGCUGAUCGCCACAGUCGCUACUAUUCCAUAAACCAUAUUCCAAAAACAUCCAUUCAUCUCUCAGUAACGGAUCACCUCCUUCAACAGAGUCACCACGUUCAAAGGAUGACUGCAGUUACAAACAUAAAGAUGGAAUAUGUCCUGGACCAAAACCGUCCUCCAGGAGAGCUCAUAGUGAAGGAGGAUGAUAUCUGCUCAACCUGUGAAGACUUUAGGAUCCUGAAUAUGACACAAUGGAUGGAAUCCUCCGAGAAAAUGUCUACAUUGAUGACCUUUAUGUUAUGACCACCUGGAAGGAUCUCCAAGUUGACCUACUGCGCUCCUUGCUGGAAACCUUCAGGUCAGAGGUCAUGCUGAUGUUUCCACUUAGAGCAGACAGACAGGUCCAGCUGAUCUCUACCUGCUUUGUGUGAGUGUCCUCGGUCUUUCUCACUCUGUGUUUUUAACAGGAUAGAGAAGAAAAGGAGAGGUUGAUGUGUCGUGUUUUGUGGAUGAUGAUGAUAACGUCUCUAUUCAGACAAUAUUUAUAGCUGAGAAACAGAAGCUCUUUCUGGACUCACUUCACCCUGAUGGUUUUGGUGAUGAUCUCUACAGAACAAUAUUUAGGUUGAUGCUACAGAAAUGAAAAGUUGCUCUGACCUUGUUCAAGGACAAGUGUGUUCUUUGGAUAGACUGUCUAACAGCAGCCUGUUAGGUUCUCAGGCUGAAAGGUUCAACAUGGAACUUCGUUAACAGAUUUAAAGGUUCAACAUGGAGCCAGAUCUCAGAAUACUUUAUUUAU